rnacentral:lncRNA from 1 species
CACGCCAAGAGAGAGACUCUUAGGCAUGUGGUUCCCUAGUUUUUGGCACCCAACAGCAAGCCCAAUCAGAAUACUUCAAACCCAUUUCAAGACCAAAUCCAAGUUGGCUCAAAUUGGUUCUAAAUUAGCCCAAAUCGAAACCUGAUUCGAAUCCAAUUCGAAUCUAGAUGCUAGGGUUUGCAACAUGUGCUAGCAUGUUCAACUUGCAAACAUGGUUUAAUCAAAUUAAACCCAUGAUCAAUUUUCUUUGUGUGUGACCCAUUGGGUUCCACAUCUAGCCAGC